UCCCUUGUAGCUCAGUCGGUAAAGAAUCUGUCUGAAAUGCAGGAGACCUGGGAUCGAUUCCUUGCUCUGGAA
rnacentral:tRNA from 1 species